UAGUCGACUCCUGUGUCGGGUUUGGCCGGUUUGGCCAAGGGAACACGGGAGAAGACGCAAUUCACAACUUUUAAUUGCGUUCUUUGCGCCCGGGCUGCCCCCGCAACUGUGAGUGACGAGUUGGAAACGGGAAUGGUCACUGAUCCGGACAAACAGGAUCGGGAAGGCUGUUUUCAGCGACGACGUACGAGCCAGGAAACCUGCCCGCACGGACGAUGGCGU
rnacentral:ncRNA from 2 species